rnacentral:rRNA from 1 species
AGGAGACGUUGAAUACAAAACACCACCAUCGGUGCGGUCGUCCUUGGCGUCUCGGUUUCGGCCGGGGUGCGGGGACGGCUUAGCCCGGUGGCACCGGUGAAU